GUUGACCUCGGAUCAGGUAGGAAUACCCGCUGAACUUAAGCAUAUCAAUAAGCGGAGGAAAAGAAACCAACAGGGAUUGCCCCAGUAACGGCGAGUGAAGCGGCAACAGCUCAAAUUUGAAAUCUGGCCCCAGGCCCGAGUUGUAAUUUGCAGAGGAUGCUUUUGGCGCGGUGCCUUCCGAGUUCCCUGGAACGGGACGCCAUAGAGGGUGAGAGCCCCCGUACGGUUGGACACCAAGCCUUUGUAAAGCUCCUUCGACGAGUCGAGUAGUUUGGGAAUGCUGCUCAAAAUGGGAGGUAUAUUUCUUCUAAAGCUAAAUAUAGGCCAGAGACCGAUAGCGCACAAGUAGAGUGAUCGAAAGAUGAAAAGCACUUUGAAAAGAGGGUUAAACAGCACGUGAAAUUGUUAAAAGGGAAGCGCUUGUGACCAGACUUGCGUCCGGUGAAUCACCCAGCUCUCGCGGCUGGGGCACUUCGCCGGCACAGGCCAGCAUCAGCUUGCCGUCGGGGACAAAAGCUUCAGGAACGUAGCUCUCUUCGGGGAGUGUUAUAGCCUGUUGCAUAAUACCCUUUCGGCGGGCUGAGGUACGCGCUCCGCAAGGAUGCUGGCGUAAUGGUCAUCAGCGAC
rnacentral:rRNA from 1 species